GAUGAACGCUGGCGGCGUGCCUAAUACAUGCAAGUCGAACGAACGGACGAUAAGCUUGCUUCUCUGAUGUUAGCGGCGGACGGGUGAGUAACACGUGUAUAACCUACCUAUAAUACUGGGAUAACUUCGGGAAACCGGAUCUAAUACCGGAUAAUAUUUUGAACCGCAUGGUUCAAAAGUGAAAGACGGUCUUGCGGUCACUUAUAGAUGGAUCCGCGCUGCAUUAGCUAGUUGGUAAGGUAACGGCUUACCAAGGCAACGAUGCAUAGCCGACCUGAGAGGGUGAUCGGCCACAUUGGAACUGAGACACCGUCCAGACUCCUACGGGAGGCAGCAGUAGCGAACCUUCCGCAAUGGGCGAAAGCCUGACGGAGUAACGCCGAGUGAGUGAUGAAGGUCUUCGGAUCGUAAAACUCUGUUAUUAGGGAAGAACAUAUGUGUAAGUAACUGUGCCCAUCUUGACGGUACUUAAUCAGAAAGCCACGGCUAACUACGUG
rnacentral:rRNA from 1 species